AUUGCACAUGGACACAAUACCUUUAUUUUGUUAUUUAGUUUUUUUAUGUGGUGCUGGGAGUCGAACCCACUGCCUCACUCUCGCGCUAGGCGAGCGCUCUACCACUGAACUACAACCCCAGCCCUUGGCUAGACUUUUGAGUGUAACUUAUUUUUUGUUACAGGAUGCGUUUAUAACAUGUUUGUCAAAGAUCAUGCAAUUCUAUAGAUAUAAUGGCUUUCCUUUGAACCCUUAAGUUCUCAGUACUUUUUCUUGUCCCAGUGCCUGAAAUCUGGUAGCACUUUUGGUAGUGAGCUUUUGGGUAGCAAUUACCACACGGUAUUGUAAUCAUUUGUUGUGGCAUUUAUUUAUGCAUAAUUCCCGACCCUACCCCGCCCCUUCUCUGGAAACUGAAACUUCCUGUAGGCUGAGGCCUAGACUGUUUACCUUUGUACCCACAGAGAUUUUCUCCUGCACACGGUAAGAACUCAAUAAAUGAUAGGUAAAUAUGUGAAUAAAUAUGAUUUUACUACAUGCUGCCUAUGUGAUCUUAAGAAAACUACUUAACCUCUCUGUGUGUCUCUAUUAUAAAAUGAGGUUUAUAACAGUGUAAUUCCCUCUUGUUGUUGUGAACAUUUAGGAAGAUAAUGCAAGUUAAGUACUAAAGCACACUGCCAGACUAGAGACAGUGCUCUAUAUCUGAUGGCAACUAUUAUUAGCAAUCACAGGACAUAUUUCUAGUUUAUGUAGGGUUAGGGUUACUGAUUUCCUAUGACAGGGAUAGAUAAUAAACAAUAACUAAUUGCAAACAAAUGUAUGUGCAUCAUAUUUUCUUUAUCUAUUCAUCUGGUGAUUCAUAGGCUGAUUCUGUUCUUAGCUAUGAUGAAAAGUGGCACAAUAAAGCACGAGCAUGCG
rnacentral:lncRNA from 1 species